rnacentral:ribozyme from 1 species
UUCGUUUUUUUGUUGAUUUUAUUUUUUUCUUCUUGAAUGUGUUAUUCUUCUUUUUUGUUGUUGUUGUGCGAACAAAGUCGAAAAACAAAAAAGCUGUGGGGAAUGUUCCCGGAAAAAUUGACAAGAAAACGAAAAAAAAAAAAAAAUUUC